rnacentral:lncRNA from 1 species
CUCUAUCUUCCCUGAGACCGGAAUAACCAGGAAUUUUAAAACAAAAUUCCGGUUUUAACCACGUCUCACAUAGAGCUAUAAUACAAGGGUUAAAUUUGUUAAUAAGAUAAAUUAAAUCAGAUUUGUUCUUCACUACGCUUCUGCAGUUCCAUUGUAGUACUUUGCCUAAGUGAGCCAUUGUUAAAUAUGUCAGUUAUUAUUUUCAAUAAAGGGGCAACGUUGGACGGUAAAAUUGUUUGUGACAGUGAUGAAACUAAAGCUAUAAUAAUAUCAGCCACCGAUUGUGGUUCUGGCAGGGUACCAGUUUUAGGUAGUGCACACCCAUCGGCAUAAUUGGGAGAGUUGAAAUCACCUACAAUAGCUUGGUGGGCUGCACGAUCAUAACCUUGUAUAGAUUUAGGCGGAGAACGGGGCUUCUGAAAAACAGUUUUUUUAUAAGAAUUACUACUGUACAAUGAUUGAGUGGCUGGAAUUUUGACAUCUUGGCUGUUUGGUAUAAAAGAAGAUGAGGAUGUAAACUUUAAUGUGUCUGCAUAUGAUUUAGUCACCGGAGGAUAUAUCUUUGAUGCUUCUGAACAUGUCCACUGGUACACCUCUUACAAGCCCCAUUCUGGUAACAUUAAAUGAUGGAAUAAAGGCUUCAUAUCCUUUUUCCAAUAAGGCAUGAUGCUUUAUAAAAGAAUUUGCAGCUGAGUGACUGGAGAAUGCCAUCGAAAUUUUGUUGCGACCGAUACGUUUCAAACUGCCUUGUACUAUGUUUGGCACCUGGUUUUUAUAUAAAAAUCUGCCAAAGCAUAUUGGAUGCAAGUUGAGAUCCUGUGUUACCUCACCAGUACUAGACCUAGCAACAUGAAUAAUGAAUGGUGAAGCAUCCAAUGCAGAAUAUUCUUUUCUAAUACCAUUUGUUACAUUGGGAGGUACCUGAGAGGCCUGAGAUGGAAGAGCUUGUAUAUGUGGUGCUUUGAGAGGUGAUGGAUUUUCAGUGAUUUUUUCGUCACUGUCUUCGCAACGACAUCCAGUUCUACCCGAGUCUACAGCCAUUGCAUUUUUGCGUUUUUUUUUAUUACAUAUUUUGCACACCUUACUUAA